CGCUCACGUGGUGCCGCUGACGCUCGCCGAGCUGCGGAGGCGAUUGGCCACUGCGGAGGCGGGUGGGGCGGGCGACACGGAGUGACCGCUCCGCUUCCGCCAACCGGCGGCUCCGGGCAGCGGGAAGGGGCGGUCGCGGGUCAACCCAACUCAAGCGCAGCCCUGCGGGGUGGCGGCCUCCGGCGGGGGCACCGCGAGCACGGGAAGCGCAGAACCGUGAAACAGCUGGUGGGAAACUUGGAAGACCAUAUGACCCAAACUAAUGUGGGAAGAGGAGACAAAAUGGAAUGCUCUCGCACCCUCUCCAGCUGUGCCUUGAAAACCUCCACCAAUGAUUCUACUGCAUCCCUGAGGAGGUUGUUGCAGUGGUUGCUUGUUCGGACUAUAAAAAAAUGCCUUGUACCAAUCUGAAACUUCUGGUGCUGCUUAUACCUUUUGCCACUUGUCUUCUCCUUGUGAAGAGAGGCCUCCAUCUGCUGCCACCCUUUAAGUACUGGAAGACUCUGAUGAGGUCCCCUCUGAGACUUUUCUUCUUCAGGGAGAGAUGACCUAACUCCUCAAGUCUUUGCUUGCAGAGCAGGUUCUCCAGCUCUCUGAUCAUCUUGAUGGCCUUCCUUUGGACCAUCUCCAGUCUGUCCAUGUAUUUUGUGAAUUGUGGAGACCAGAGCUGGACACAGCACUCCAGGUGUGGCCUGACAAGUGCUGAGCAGAGUGGGAUGAUCGUGUCUGUCUCUGCCAGUAACAUCCCUGUGUAUGCAUCCCAGGAUCUGAUGUGCCUUCAUUGUUGCAGUGUCCCACUGCUGACUCCUUGUUAGCCAUCAGCACCCUCCAGUCCUCUUCAGCAAGACUGGCCCAUCGCCCUGGGGGUCUGAGCCUGUCCUGUGCUCUGUGUUUAUGUCAUCUCAGAUGCAGGAUCUUGAACUUGUCUUUAUGAAGAAUUUUUCUUUAUUUGUAUGUUUCACUUGCCAUCACUGGUGUCGUUGUUAUCCAAUAAAACAGGAAGUCAAUGACAGUUUUAUAUCUGUAUGUAAUUGGCUUUCAUGGAAAUACCAGAACUUAAAAAUAACUGCUACUCUGUAUGA